CUCAUCUCCGCGGGCGCGCUCUUCACGCCUCCCAUUUCAAAAAGUACUUCGCUUCUGCUGUUGCUCUUUGGCAAUAGCGACAAGCGGCACUUCGCGGAGUGUUGGAAGCGUUCCACAUAACGGCCCUUUAUCCACGGAACGGGCCUUGCAAGGCAGGCCAGUAUUGUUACGCCCAUAUUGGAGAUGCGUGACUGACGCUCAGAAAAUACGGUGGCUUGUCAGAGGCCAUCUGGGAAGCUGUGGGAAUUCUGAAUCAGCAUCUGAAAGCAAUGAAAGGAUUGGAUAUGGGCUAACAAACUGGAGCUUAUGGCAGACAAAAUGGAAGAAUGGAUGACAGGAGCCAGGUGCACAUACAGCUGAUCCAACCACAUCUUUACCUUCCCGGCAACUGACUUCACAUGGGACAUCAGGUGUAGGACAGAUACAGAACAUUACUGAGGCAAGGAGAGAGAAAACAGGAAUGCCAGCAAAAGGAGAAUGGACAAAAACCCUGUGAUUUCUGAAGGGUAAAUUCACCAGUUUGCAUUCAAGAAAGCCUCUGUGCUUCAUAAUGGCACAAAAGAGAGAAAGUGGUGUGGCUCAGGCUUCUCCCACCAAGAGCUAUGUAUGUCCUCAGAUCCUCCACUUUAGACAAACAUUAAAGAUAGAGGUUUACUGGUUUUGUACGAAAUCUGAUGAGCUGCAAUUCUUUGCAGGGCAAAAUAGCACAUUGGGGAGCUGGGGGUCAGAGACAAUGCACUACAAUGGACUGUAGGUUCAAGGGUGGAACUAUCAUGUAAUCUAAAGAUUAUGCUGCGGCAUCAAGUGAUUAAAGGUUCCCCCCCUUCAUCAUUACAGCGUUGUGGCAAGAGUGACCUGUCCCUCUGCUAGCAACUCAUUUGGUGGGGAAGGGGAAAGAAAACAGGGUGCUAGACAAAGAGAAAAUGGGUGGCUAUGCCCACUUUUGGCUCUAUCCCUGCCUACUGUGGGCAUGCAGCCUUGACAGAUUGCCCUCAAGCAUAGGAUAGCUCAGUCAGUACAGAAUGAGAUUCUUAAUCUCAGGGUUAUGGGUUUGAGCCCACAUUAGACAAAAGAUUCCUGCAUUGCAGGGGGGUUGGACUAGAUGACCCUGAUGCUCCCUUCCAACUCUACAAUUCUAUGAAUGCUGCCCUUGACAGAAAAAGGUUGCCCAUCCCUGGGUUAGAGGGCUUCUGAUUCUAGGGAAAUUCAGCCUUGUCCAGAUUACAGCAAUCCAUUUCACCUUAUAUUGUCCAGUGUUACAGAAAAUGUGUUUGGAGGACUGCAGAAAGCUAGCGGAAAGUGAGGCUUCAUGAAUGCCUUGGCCAGUAAAAGCUUGUUAAACAAACCUUGAGGUACUGCUAGCUAAGGUUUAAUCUCCUCCUUGCAGGAGAUGCUGGGUAUCUUGUGAUUGAGAAGCUGACUAUCCAGCCUGCUACAACUUGCUCUGUUUUCUACAGUAGGGCUAUAGAGCAGAUGGCCUCUUCAGCCCGAGGUGUUCUGGCACAGCGUGAGUACAAAGACAAAGUUGCAUGACAGGGAACAUAAAUACAUAGACUUACACAUCACUUUGUGUUGUGUAGAUGUGAUCAAAGAGAGAUUCAAUUGCCAUCCACUUCACAGGUAUCCGACCCUGGCAGGAAAAUAAAGAACUAUUACUGCUUGCAAGUUCUGUUUAGCACUG